GACGAACGCUGGCGGCGUGCUUAACACAUGCAAGUCGAACGGAAAGGCCCUGCUUUUGUGGGGUGCUCGAGUGGCGAACGGGUGAGUAACACGUGAGUAACCUGCCCUUGACUUUGGGAUAACUUCAGGAAACUGGGGCUAAUACCGGAUAGGAGCUCCUGCUGCAUGGUGGGGGUUGGAAAGUUUCGGCGGUUGGGGAUGGACUCGCGGCUUAUCAGCUUGUUGGUGGGGUAGUGGCUUACCAAGGCUUUGACGGGUAGCCGGCCUGAGAGGGUGACCGGCCACAUUGGGCCUGAGAUACGGCCCAGACUCAUACGGGAGGCAGCAGUGGGGAAUAUUGCACAAUGGGCGGAAGCCGGAUGCAGCAACGCCGCGUGCGGGAUGACGGCCUUCGGGUUGUAACCCGCUUUCGCCUGUGACGAAGCGUGAGUGACGGUAAUGGGUAAAGAAGCACCGCCUAAUUACGU
rnacentral:rRNA from 1 species